UACGUAGGGUGCAAGCGUUAAUCGGAAUUACUGGGCGUAAAGCGUGCGCAGGCGGUUUUGUAAGUCUGUCGUGAAAUCCCCGGGCUCAACCUGGGAAUUGCGAUGGAGACUGCAAGGCUAGAAUCUGGCAGAGGGGGGUAGAAUUCCACGUGUAGCAGUGAAAUGCGUAGAGAUGUGGAGGAACACCGAUGGCGAAGGCAGCCCCCUGGGUCAAGAUUGACGCUCAUGCACGAAAGCGUGGGGAGCAAACAGGGAUUACGAA
rnacentral:rRNA from 1 species